AGGACAGGCAACCCAUCAGCAAUAGGGCUACCCAAGUGAUUUCAAGAGGCGUGUGGGUACUGAAUUGCCCUGGUAUACUCUUGGUGUCAUAAAUACUCCACACCUACUUGCUGGAAUCUUCUGAGUAAACCAUGCCUACUCUGGAGUCCUGGACCAACUAGACAAUGAAGGAAUCCUGCUUCAGUGGAAAACUAUCAACAGUGCAUCUGUACAUGUGUAGCACCGAGAGAAGAUAAUUUAUAAGAUGGACUCAUUCUCUUCCUGAACCACACAGCCGUGACAGUUACUGUAACGGACUGGACCUUAUGUGUAUAUGUGUAUGAUGUGAGUGACUCAUUUAGUUCUGUGUUUAGACAGCCUGUAUACAUAUGUCUAGGUAUAUGUAUUAAUACACGUAUUACUAUCUAUAUUUAUAUACACAUUAUCAGGAUGUUAAAAUGACAUGUUAGCUGAAGUGUCAAAUAUUACCACGUAGAACUUGCAGGAGAGAAGUUGGGCGAGGCUGGUGAGAUAAUGUUAUACGUUUCAUUCAUAUCAAUCGUAUGAAAAGGUCAGGCGUGGGAAAUCAGGGAAGGAACCUUGCAGGUUGCUUUGGAGUGAGUUGUUCUACGUGUCUCACCUUCUUCCUUUUGGGGAACAGGGGCAGGAGGAGAUCUCUUUAGAGAACAGGUCUUCCAGGGGACUGCCUGGAGAAUCUGGUAUGUGACCCCUCUCCACUCCCCAGACACACACAGUUUGGG